rnacentral:lncRNA from 1 species
UGGCAUGAUAUAGAAGCUAAGUAAGUAGUGAUUACUAAGUAGAAUCAAUUUGGAACCCAAAACAGAUUCAUAGAAGAAGGUGGUGAGUGGAAAAGUGAUGAUGGAGCAAGGAAGCAAGAAUGUUGUUGUUGUUGAUGAUGAUGAUCCAAGAAUAUUGGCAUGGCGUUCUGAUCAUCCGAUUCGGAUUUGGAUUCCUUACCAGUGAGUUGGUGAACAAGUGAUCGAAACUGAGAAGCAUGGCAUGUCCUCAUCAACACCGGCCUCGAUAUAUAUGUUACCUUAACAACUCCUCCUCCUUUGCCUUUUACCCUCUUCCAUGGCUCCUCCAUUAUUCCAUAAUCAUUAUUAUUUUGUCUCACCUUUCCCAUUUUUUCCUCUAAAU